AACGAACGCUGGCGGCAUGCCUAACACAUGCAAGUCGAACGAGACCUUCGGGUCUCGUGGCGCACGGGUGCGUAACGCGUGGGAACCUGCCCUUAGGUUCGGAAUAACUCGCCGAAAGGGGUGCUAAUACCGGAUAAUUUCUUCGGACCAAAGAUUUGUCGCCUUUGGAUGGGCGCGCGUUGGAUUAGCUAGUUGGUAGGGUAAAAGCCUACCAAGGCGACGAGCCAUAGGUGUUCUGAGAGGAUGAGCAGCCACACUGGGACUGAGACACGGCCCAGACUCCUACGGGAUGCAGCAGUGGCGAAUAUUGCACAAUCGGCGAAAGCCUGAUCCAGCAAUGCCGCGUGAGUGAUGAAGGCCUUAGGGUUGUAAAGCUCGUUUACCCGGGAUGAUAAUGACAGUACCGGGAGAAUAAGCUCCGGCUAACUCCGUG
rnacentral:rRNA from 1 species